UACGUAGGGUGCAAGCGUUAAUCGGAAUUACUGGGCGUAAAGCGUGCGCAGGCGGUUUUGUAAGACAGGUGUGAAAUCCCCGGGCUUAACCUGGGAACUGCAUUUGUGACUGCAAGGCUGGAGUGCGGCAGAGGGGGGAUGGAAUUCCGCGGUGUAGCAGUGAAAUGCGUAGAUAUGCGGAGGAACACCGAUGGCGAAGGCAAUCCCCUGGGCCUGCACUGACGCUCAUGCACGAAAGCGUGGGGAGCGAAACAAGG
rnacentral:rRNA from 1 species